rnacentral:rRNA from 1 species
UACGUAGGGGGCAAGCGUUGUCCGGAAUCAUUGGGCGUAAAGCGCGCGCAGGCGGCCGGCAGAGCCCGGCGUGAAAGCUCCCAGCUUAACUGGGAGAGGUCGUCGGGGACCUGGUGGCUAGAGGCCGGUAGGGGUGAGCGGAAUUCCCGGUGUAGUGGUGGAAUGCGUAGAGAUCGGGAGGAACACCGGUGGCGAAGGCGGCUCACUGGGCCGGUCCUGACGCUCAGGCGCGAAAGCGUGGGGAGCGAUCCGG